CCCGAGGAGCGCUGCGACGAACCUCCUUCGCCAGGCUCGGGAUUGUUCCACGUGAAACAUCCGCGUUCACGUACCUCUCUUUCCUUCAACGGCGCUCAUUU
rnacentral:ncRNA from 1 species